GUCUUUGUAGCUCAACGGUAGAGCGCUCUUCCGAAGAGAGAGAAGAAGGUUCGACACCUUCCAAGGGCA
rnacentral:tRNA from 1 species